UUGGAGGGCAAGUCUGGUGCCAGCAGCCGCGGUAAUUCCAGCUCCAAUAGCGCAUAUUAAAGUUGUUGCAGUUAAAAAGCUCGUAGUUGAAUUUCGGAGUCAGUAGGUCGGCCGUGCCACUGGUAUGAACUGGUUUUACUGAUUCCUCCCUCUUGAGGAACUGUAAUGCCAUUAAUUUGGUGUUGCAGGGAAUCAGGACUGUUACUUUGAAAAAAUUAGAGUGUUUAAAGCAGGCUUUAGCUUGAAUACAUUAGCAUGGAAUAAUGAAAUAGGACGUUUGAUCCUAUUUUGUUGGUUUCUAGGAUUGACGUAAUGAUUAAUAGGGAUCGUUGGGGGCAUUAGUAUUCAAUUGUCAGAGGUGAAAUUCUUGGAUUUAUUGAAGACUAACUACUGCGAAAGCAUUUGCCAAGGAUGUUUUCAUUAAUCAAGAACGAAAGUUAGGGGAUCGAAGACGAUCAGAUACCGUCGUAGUCUUAACCAUAAACUAUGCCGACUAGGGAUCGGAUGAUGUUAAUUUUUUAAUGACUCAUUCGGCGCCUUACGGGAAAC
rnacentral:rRNA from 1 species